rnacentral:lncRNA from 1 species
AUGGGAGAAAGGGCCAGCAUGAUCUUACUAUGUAGGCUGUAUUUCCAAAAACCUGCUCAGCCAGCUCCUGAUGGAGAACACAUGCAGGAAGAAGUUGGUCCCACUGAACAGGGGAGCAAGGAGGUUCAUCCUGAGUGUGCACGGAACCAGAAAUAUUUGGUUGACUUCAACAAGAAAGAUAAAGACCAGCAACGUCCAGACCCAGCAUCAUCAGGUCUCAGAAAGUGCAAGAGAGCUGGAAUUGGACACAGACCAGGAAGAGGACUCCUGAAGAAUAAGUUGCUUUCUCAGGAGUCCCCUGCUGACAAACAUCCUGACUAUUAACAAUAUUUUUGGAUGAAUAUUCUUCCUCAUAGUUAAUUUGUCAUUGCUUAGAGACCCUAAAUUUAUAUAUCACUAAGCCAGCCUGACUGAUUGAGGUCUUACUCACUUCCUUCUUUAGAAUUCACCACUUAAGAGACAGCUUGGGGGAUCGCCUUUCAUUAUGUGUGCUAGAGGAGAAACAGCAAUACAUCUGUGCUUCUAAAUGUUCGUUAAGAAUAUGAUGUUUAGAAAUAUUUUGUUGGCGGAUCCCGGCCCGUAGCAGCUCUCUGCUCCCAAACCCCGUGGGAGAGAGACCUCACCGCCUGGUCAGGUGGGCACUCCCGAGGCUGCAGAGCUGAGGAGACCACCAACACUGCCCACCCCUGCCCACAUCCCUGGCCCAAGAGGAAACUGUAUAAGGCCUCUGGGUUCCCGUAGGGGAGGGCCCAGGAGCGGCAGGACCCCUGCGCCUGAGACACCGAGGGAACCUGAAGGAAACAGACCGGAUAAACAGUUCUCUGCACCCAAAUCCCAUGGGAGGGAGAGCUAAACCUACAGAGAGGCAGACAUGCCUGGGAAACCAGAAGAGACUGCACUCUG